rnacentral:rRNA from 1 species
GUGGAUUAGAUACCCUGGUAGUCCACACCGUAAACGAUGUGUGCUAGUUGUCGGGCAGCUUUGCUGUUCGGUGACGGAGCUAACGUUUUAAGCACACCGCCUGGGAAGUACGGCCGCAAGGUUAAAACUCAAAGGAAUUGACGGGGACCCGCACAAGCAGUGGAACAUGUCCUUUAAUUCGUAGCAACGCGAAGAACCUUACCUACCCUUGACAUAUCAGUUGGGAUUUCCAGAGAUGGAUUUCUUCAUUUAGUUGGACUGAAUACAGGUGCUGCACGGUUGUCGCCAGCU